UGAGGAAUAUUGGUCAAUGGACGAGAGUCUGAACCAGCCAAGUAGCGUGCAGGAUGACGGCCCUAUGGGUUGUAAACUGCUUUUGUUUGGGAAUAAUCGACAUUACGUGUAAUGUUUUGCAUGUACCAUUCGAAUAAGGACCGGCUAAUUCCGUGCCAGCAGCCGCGGUAAUACGGAAGGUCCAGGCGUUAUCCGGAUUUAUUGGGUUUAAAGGGAGCGUAGGCCGGUUGGUAAGCGUGUUGUGAAAUGUAGGAGCUCAACUUCUAGAUUGCAGCGCGAACUGUCAGACUUGAGUGCGCACAACGUAGGCGGAAUUCAUGGUGUAGCGGUGAAAUGCUUAGAUAUCAUGAAGAACUCCGAUUGCGAAGGCAGCUUACGGGAGCGCAACUGACGCUGAAGCUCGAAGGUGCGGGUAUCGAACAGG
rnacentral:rRNA from 1 species